rnacentral:rRNA from 1 species
AGAGUUUGAUCCUGGCUCAGAGCGAACGCUGGCGGCAGGCUUAACACAUGCAAGUCGAGCGCCCCGCAAGGGGAGCGGCAGACGGGAGAGUAACACGUGGGAACGUACCUUUCAGUUCGGAACAACCAAGGGAAACUUUGGCUAAUACCGGAUACGCCCGUAAGGGGAAAGAUUUAUCGCUGAAAGAUCGGCCCGCGUCUGAUUAGCUUGUUGGUGGGGUAAUGGCCCACCAAGGCGACGAUCAGUAGCUGGUCUGAGAGGAUGAUCAGCCUCACUGGGACUGAGACACGGCCCAGACUCCUACGGGAGGCAGCAGUGGGGAAUAUUGGACAAUGGGCGCAAGCCUGAUCCAGCCAUGCCGCGUGAGUGAUGAAGGCCUUAGGGUUGUAAAGCUCUUUUGUCCGGGACGAUAAUGACGGUACCGGAAGAAUAAGCCCCGGCUAACUUCGUGCCAGCAGCCGCGGUAAU